AGUUAAUUCUGCUCACCUGUGUUCAUUCUAUUAUGCCAUUAGUCUCUCUCUUGCGCUUGUAUAAAUUCUCCCCAUUUCUGUUCUGUCCUGAAAACAGUCUUUUCAUAUA